ensembl:snoRNA
ACCCUUUUGUAGGUCACAAAUGUGACGAUUGGGGUUUCACACUUAUAUGUGAGAUGUGUCUCUCCCUCAAACUUUGUUAUGACCUGAAAACCUUACCUGACAUGAAA